rnacentral:lncRNA from 1 species
UGUGGUCUUAUUUUUGCGGAUUUUUUUUUUCACCUUUUUGGAAUUUAAUUUGUUUUAGUCUCGGAACGAUCCCAUGCACGUUUAAGCCUCUACAGGAGUAUCUACAUCACUAAUUCUGUUUGAAUUUACUUAUGCAAAUUAAAUUACGUGUCAUGAGUUCCGUCAUUCGUAUAGAUAAUUAUGAGAUGUGGUAUGUUAAAAUUUGCAAUAUGAAAGGG